rnacentral:rRNA from 1 species
UUUAUCGGAGAGUUUGAUCCUGGCUCAGGACGAACGCUGGCGGCGUGCCUAAUACAUGCAAGUCGAGCGRACAGAAGGGAGCUUGCUCCCGGAUGUUAGCGGCGGACGGGUGAGUAACACGUGGGUAACCUGCCUGUAAGACUGGGAUAACUCCGGGAAACCGGAGCUAAUACCGGAUAGUUCCUUGAACCRCAUGGUUCAAGGAUGAAAGACGGUUUCGGCUGUCACUUACAGAUGGACCCGCGGCGCAUUAGCUAGUUGGUGGGGUAAUGGCUCACCAAGGCGACGAUGCGUAGCCGACCUGAGAGGGUGAUCGGCCACACUGGGACUGAGACACGGCCCAGACUCCUACGGGAGGCAGCAGUAGGGAAUCUUCCGCAAUGGACGAAAGUCUGACGGAGCAACGCCGCGUGAGUGAUGAAGGUUUUCGGAUCGUAAAGCUCUGUUGUUAGGGAAGAACAAGUGC